ensembl:lncRNA
AUUGAUCAUGUUCAUUUAUUCUUUUCAGGAAAAUAAAGGAAUAAUAUUCCACUAAUUGUGAGCGACUCACUUGUCAGCCUUCGUGAUAUUAAGACUGAAGUGUAAAAUUACAGAUUUGUUUUUUUUUUUUUUUUAUUCAUAUUGCCAUCCCAUAGUACAGUCUUGUAACUUUUUUGGAAACCCUCCCUGGCUGUGAUAGUGAAGCUGUGGCUGGAUAUGUUUACUCUUCAGUUGUCUCAAUCCAUGGUUGAACCAGUUCCUCUAGUUAUCAUUCUAAAAGGAAUGAUGUAGACCUGUACCUAAUUACCCAUGGCAGAAGAUGCACUAACCACUAACACUCAUUGGAGUCAAAGCAAGCAGCAGUGCACUACAGUACAUGAUACUGUAUUGUAAUACAGCUCAAAAUGUAUCCAUGGUUCAGAGGAAUUACAAAAGUUACAGCAAAGAAACACAAACUUCGUCAGAUAGAUUUCCUUGCCUCAACCUUUUGGGGGCUCCAUAUGACAGUGCAAGAGUCCAUGUAGGAUCUUAAUUGUCUCAGUUUGCUAUUUAGAGCGGAAACUCCUUGUACCACAUCAAAUAGCCACUGAGUGGAUGCUCAGUGACCCAAACCAGCCAUCUUAUUGUUUGAACUUGAACUCUCCACUGACCAACUAAGGCUGGCGUUUGUUUGAUAAUUAUCUCUUCAUUCCUUUCAACCAUUCUCUGGUAACCAGUGAUGGAGUGUGGAGAUGCUAUUGCGUACUGUCCUGCUGCCACGGAUUGGCCUCAUUCUCUCGUAACAUGAUGGGAUAGAAUGUUAUGCAACAGCCCCACAGCACAGUACUGUUUCAGUGGGAAGAACUGUCAUCUGUUGGAGAGAACGAUUAGCGGCUGUAAGCAGAGAGGGGAGGCAGUUCUCUCUGCUACAUGUGUUUAUUUGUGUCAGGAGCUGGUUAAGUGAGGGACAGCUGACGAAAGCAGAGUGGCUAUACUAAGAUAACCUCUUGGCUAUUACAUGGAUGUGGACUCCAGUGGAUAAAGGGACUCCGUCUUACUGAACUGUGAAGAAUCCAAAAUCACAAGGAGCAGCAAAUGACAUAAAGUCUGAUGAUUCCAAAACUCUGGGACAAAGAACUGUUUGCAAACCACACCAAAACUGUACUUCCAGCACCAUCCAGUUACAAUCACUUUGACUGUACAGCAGAGGAUGUGUAACUGGUUGUUAGUGCCAGUGUCUCUGAAAGCUCAAUGGAUGUGAACCAGGUUAAUGACAUUAGUUGAUAUCUGUUUGUCGAUUUAAGCCCCAGUAUAGGCCUGCUCUUCCUCAGCAUUUGUAAUGUAGUCAACUGUGGCACAGACUGCUGUACUGUGCUGUACCAGUGUUUUACGGUGAAAGCAUCAUUGUACUGAUGAUAAUAAUUAUGAACAACAGGUGACACUACACUGCCCUGUCUACUAACCUUGUGCCUUAAAAAUGAUUGACACCAAGUGCGAUUGGGUUCUUAAAUAAAAUGAUUUGAAGGUUACAGUGGAAGCUCAUGCACCAAGACAGAAAUGUCAUGAGUCAACAACCACGUUGUCUAAUGCAGGUUUCUGUCUGCAAAAUGUGUAGCCAGUCAGUGAAAUAUUUUCCUUUUAAUGAUGUCACACUUUCUAAAUAAUAUCCCAGUCUGCAGUAAUGUCGUUAAAUUGUGGUUGUUUGAUGUCCCCCCUCAACCUAAACACUGAAGUGCAAUCAUGACACUGAAGCUGAAAUAUAAAAGAAUUGAACUAAAAUUGAGACACCAGUGGUAUGUAUACCCUCUUGUAAACCAUGCUUACCCUGACAUUUCACAAAUCUGUGGCACACUCCAAGGCAGAGGGAAUAUGCUCUUCUGAAGGUGUACUAGACAUGUAUAAGCAGGUCAACUCCAGAAAAUACUGUGCAGGUGCAACCAAACAAUGUAUAGCAGGGAAUUCAAAGUGAUCUUAUUGGGCAUUAGUUCUUGUUGAAUCCAAAGAGGCCCUGUAGGACUAAAUUACAUUUCUGUGCUUAUCAUCACCACAUUACCAUAUUUGCUAAAUUUAUGAACAGUUGAUUAUUUGGUGGACGAACAGCUGUUUUAGUACCUGUGUAUAUAUACUUUUUACAUUGAGGAUGAGUGUGGCAUCCUCACCAACUAAAAUAAUUAGCUGAGUACAUUCAAAGAUACCAAGUAAGUGAGUAACUUGCUGUCAUCUUGUGAAGUGAUGUUAAGCAUUGUUCUAUAUGCAUGCUGUAGGCAUGUGGCUGGUGUGGAAUAUAUAAUGUGUAAAGGGUAAUUGAAAAGAACAGCCUAAGCAGUAUUGUGCAAUCUGACAGAAAUUUUCUUGAGUAACGGAUUGGAGAAAUGUAACAGGAAAAUCUAAGAUUUUACUAUUUGGGAACAAUCCGCAAAAGCAGCCAUCUGAAACCAACUCAAUUCAUCGUCUCUUCUGUCUUCUCCUUAUGCAAAUGCUUUAAACACUUUCGAGUGGCAUGUAAUAUGUUGGAGCCGUUCAGGCUGUGCUCAGUUGGUUGUAACCUAUUAUCUGUGUUGGGAAAUUAUUGCUAGUUUGUGCUCUGAUUAAUGAAAAUGUAUCACUACAACUGCAAAGUGGAGUAAACAUGUACACCGAUCAGGCGUAACAUUUUGACCAUCUGCCAGAUACUGUGUUGGUCCCCUUUAUGCUGCUGCAACUCCUCUGACCCUGUGGGGCACACAGUACCUCUGGGGAUGUGCUGUAACACCGGGAUGGUGGCAGUGAAUUCUGUGGAUCCUGUGGGUUGCAGGGUGGGACCUAUCUACAUCAGGCUUGUCCUGGCACAUCCUAUGGAUGCUCAGUAAGAUUUGGAUCUGGGGAGGGUGGGACCUGAGUGAGUGGGGUGCAUUGUCCUACUGAGGGUGGCAACUGGCAUCAAGGACUGCUGUUGCUUGGUGGGUGGUACAUGUCAAACAUCCACAUGAAUGUCCAGGCUCAAGGUUUCCCAGCAGAACGUUGCAUUCUAACAAGAUGAUUGAUGGUAUUCACUUCAUCUGUCAGUGGUCAUAAUGUUGUGGCUGAUCGGUGUAUGCUACUAUAGAGUCAUGAAAACUUCCAGAUAAAUGGAAAAUAACAGAAAGUUAAAUUCAAAGUAACUUCAACACAGACCAGAGGUUUCAUUUUGGUUUCAUAGUGUAUUGUUUGGCUUCAGUUCAGCGACUCAGCAGUUUCAGUAGAUUUUGAGGAAUUUAUAGUGUGGUCCUACCUCAUUCUCAGCACUCUGAAAGAUCCUAUCCAGUUUGACUCCUCUUUGACAAUCUUGUCUUAGUUUCUAAUACAGGGAGUACUUUCCUUAAGAAUGUUAGAUUUUUACCUCAGACUUUGUCUCUUUUAAUUUAAACCAACCUCUAACAGACUUUUCUGUGUGGUGUUUUGCUUAGCAAGAAACGCCUAGCUUAUCCCUUUGAACAGCUGUAUAACAGAGCAAGUCCAGCCCCAUAUCCACACAACAAUAUGUUAUAUGUAUUCAACAACUACAAUUAGGUUAAGAUCGUAUCUGUAUCUAUUCAUGCAGAUCUCAGUGUAUUUCAAACUAGCUCAUAUAAUUAAUUACAUACAAGGGGGACAAUUUUUGCAAGUAAAAAAGAAGUUACAUAUGAUUGUAACAAAUAACUACAUAAGUUUUGACUUACCAAGGCAAAAUUAUGAGAUAAAAAGUCAACAAACUUAUGCCUUACCCCUGGUCAGUCACUGUACGAAGUUGGCCUGAUUGAUGGAUAGUUUCUGGAAAAUUACAAAAACUGUUUGUAGCACACUGAGUUCUCAUCGAUAGAUUUCACGUGUUGUAAAAGAUCUUUUUUUAUGUUAUGAGACAUGCUGACAUGUACUUCUUUUGAAGAAAUCUCAAGAGUUGGUUAGACUAAACACACAAACAAACAAAACAAGUGCAUCCAAAGCUAACAAAAUUGCACAUGUGGAAGCAGAGAACUGGAUUUGUGUGUGAUUUUAAGUGACUUUUUCUUUUGAGUGUUUUAGUUUAAUCAAAAAUGAACACACCUCAAUGCUUGUGGGCACUGUAGUUGUUGAAUACUAACAACACUAUUGCUUUUGUUAAAACAUGAAGGUGUUUUUGUAUGUGUUCAACACAUACAAAGUCCUCUUACUUUUGGGAUGUUGAACCUCUUACCUUCUGUAUGCUUGUUUUACCAGUAAACCUAACAUGGCUAUGACACAUGGUUAAUGCAUAAGCUACAAAACCAUUGUUACUAAAAUGUAUUACCAACAUGCCCUGCUGUCACUUUUUGUAUGAGCCAGUUUGUUUAUCUCUCUUCAGACUAGUAAUGACUCCACUUGAAAACACUUCACACUAUGCAAACUAUUUUACUGUUUCACUGUAAACACCGCAAAAAGCCACACCAUUCUCAAAAUAUUGUAUGUUAUGUCUUCUUUUACUGCAUUUUUGCAAUUUGUACAAAAUGUCUUUGAAUAAAAUAAGUUUUUGUUGAUGAAGCAAAAAGGAGCCAUUAGAUGUUUGAGAAUACAUCGUUUUUUUUGCUUUAAAUAUGUGUGAUGUUUCUUGGAAUAAAUGAUAAAAACUAUGACUGCCAGG